rnacentral:rRNA from 1 species
GAUGAACGCUGGCGGCGUGCCUAAUACAUGCAAGUCGAGCGAACGGACGAGAAGCUUGCUUCUCUGAUGUUAGCGGCGGACGGGUGAGUAACACGUGGAUAACCUACCUAUAAGACUGGGAUAACUUCGGGAAACCGGCGCUAAUACCGGAUGAUAUUUUGAACCGCAUGGUUCAAAAGUGAAAGACGGUCUUGCUGUCACUUAUAGAUGGAUCCGCGCUGCAUUAGCUAGUUGGUAAGGUAACGGCUUACCACGGCAACGAUGCAUAGCCGACCUGAGAGGGGGAUCGGCCACACUGGAACUGAGACACGGUCCAGACUCCUACGGGAGGCAGCAGUAGGGAAUCUUCCGCAAUGGGCGAAAGCCUGACGGAGCAACGCCGCGUGAGUGAUGAAGGUCUUCGGAUCGUAAAACUCUGUUAUUAGGGAAGAACAGAUGUGUAAGUAACUGUGCACAUCUUGACGGUACCUAAUCAGAAAGCCACGGCUAACUACGUG